rnacentral:lncRNA from 1 species
GUGCGGCGUAGGAUGUUCAGAUCCUAAUAAAAAACAGAUUAUCAGUAAUCUACGAUACAAAUUUACUAAGCCUAAUUAAUCUAAUAUUAACACAUAUUUAUUGUAGCACUAUCUUAUCAAAUCAUGAACUAAUUCAUCUCGUAAAAUAGUCUUAAUCUAUGUAUUUAGUUUCAUAAUUAAUCUAUAUUUAAUACUACAAGCAUGUCUAAAUAUCCAAUGCGAUAGUGACUGAAGUUUAGGAGGUGAAACCAUAUAUAUUUUACCAAAUAGCGGGUCAACUCGAGUGUUGGGCCACGCCGUGGGCAGGAUGUUGAGCACACCUUUUUUUAUUUAGUUUACCAAAUGCUGGGCCAAUUUGAGUGUUGGGCCACACCAUGGGCAGAACGCUGAGCACAUCUUUUUUUUUCUAUUUAUUUUACCAAAUCCUGGACCAACUUGAGUGCUAGGCUCCGCCAUGGGCAGGAUGCUGAGGACACCUUUUUUUAUUUAGUUUACCAAAUGCUUGGACAACUCAAAUGUUGGGCCACGUCAUGGGUAGGAUGCUGAGCACGACUUUUUUUCCUAUUUAUUUUACCAAACCCUGGGCCAACUUGAGUGUUGGGCCUCGUCGUGGGGCACAAUUUUUUUCCUAUUUAUUUUUGUCUAUCUAUUUUACCAAAGAAAAAAGUCUACUUUUUCUCCUAAAUUUUUACGAAAGUCCGUUUUUCCUCCCUUAAUUCCAAAACCAGGUAAAUCACCUUCCUCAACUUUUCAAACCGUGCAUUUUACCUCCCUAGAGCAGUUUCGAAGGCAGUUUUGCUACAAUAAAUAGUGGUUUUGCUACGGUAAAUUCAUAGCCAAAUAUUGAAAGUGGGAAGGCCGCUCGCCGCAAAAUUUCAGGAUGUGCGCAUAGUGUAUUUAGAAUGCCCGCCAAAGGCCAAGGUGUCUCUUUUUUUUUUCUUCUGUUAUUUUUUUCUUAGCCAUCGAAAUAAUAAAAUAGUGACAGAUAAGAACCAAAUUUUGAAUACCGUGGACCACUUGUUUAGGCGAUAACCAAAAUUUAGAUUACGAUGUACUUACUUGUUUAGGGAAUAACCAAAAUUUUAGAGUUUAGCUAUAGCUAUCAAAUUGUUUAGGACCGGUAAUCUAAAUAAAUCACUAAUGUCCCCUCUUAUGACACACUAAUCAUACCAAUAGUAAAAAAGAUAUUGUACAACUGACGAGAUCUUACAGAUAUUGUAUACUCGACUUUACCUUUAUAGUUUUUAUGUUUAAAGUGCACAAUAGAUAUACAUCUGGCAAAUAACAAAGCCUUUACAGAAGUAUGUCUCUAAAUUCCUCAAUAAAAUAAACUAUACACAUAAUGCUAGGUUGUAACUGACUUAUGAAUACCAGACAUGAAACACAAACCAAUCUUAGUAAUGCUGAAAUACAAUAGAACAGCCAAAAAGCUUCCAAUACAGUGCUUUGACAUCUUAUCCAAUAUUACCGCUACGCGAUAGUAGCACCAAAACAUGCAUUGCAAAUUUUGUUACAGUUUAUCCAAACCAAACAAUGCCUAACGACAUUAGCUACUAUUAAUGUUAACUGAGUUUAGAACCAAACUGUGUUAUGCCAAUAAUGUAAUAACAAGCAAAAGACAAUUGAAUAUAUGAGGGGUGAAAUUAACACGAACACAAACUUACCGCAUGCCGUAGAUCUCGCUUCACCAACUACGUAGGCUGUGCUUCAAAUCGUACAGCAAUACAUCGAUCCUUUAUUCCUGCAGGCAGAUAGACAAGUUCACACUCGUCAACUUGUCUGCAGAAGCUAAAAAAACAAGCAGACAUCACUACUGGAAAACAGGACUUCGCCAAGUGCCUGGCGCACUUGGCGAAGGCCACUUUACACUUGGCGAAGGCUUCGCCGAGUUCCG